rnacentral:rRNA from 1 species
GAAUUCGCCCUUAGAGUUUGAUCCUGGCUCAGGACGAACGCUGGCGGCGUGCCUAACACAUGCAAGUCGAACGUCCUUUCCGCGAGGGGAGGGCGUGGCGGACGGGUGAGGAACACGUGGGUGACCUGCCCUGCAGUGGGGGAUACCGGUGCGAAAGUGCCGACAAUCCCGCAUACGGUGGUGUCUUGCAAGAGGCACCAGGAAAGCUUUCUGCCGGAGGGCGGGAGGCGCUGCAGGAGGGGCCUGCGCCCGAUUAGCUGGUUGGUGGGGUAACGGCCCACCAAGGCGACGAUCGGUAGCUGGUCUGAGAGGACGAUCAGCCACACUGGGAUUGAGAGACGGCCCAGACUCCUACGGGGGGCAGCAGUGAGGGAUCUUCGGCAAUGGGCGAAAGCCUGACCGAGCGACGCCGCGUGCAGGAAGACGGCCUUCGGGUUGUAAACUGCUUUUCUGGGGGAAGAGAGAGGACGGUACCCCAGGAAGAAGCCCCGGCAAACUACGUGCCAGCAGCCGCGGUAAGACGUAGGGGGCGAGCGUUGUCCGGAGUUACUGGGCGUAAAGGGCCUGUAGGCGGUCGGGCAGGUUCCGGCUGACAGCCCGCGGCUUCACUGCGGGAGAAGCAGGAAGACGGUCUGACUUGAGGGCCACAGAGGGACAGGGAAUUCCCGGUGGAGCGGUGAAAUGCGUAGAGAUCGGGAAGAACACCGAAGGCGAAGGCACUGUCCUGGGUGGUACCUGACGCUGAGAGGCGAAAGCUAGGGGAGCGAACGGGAUUAGAUACCCCGGUAGUCCUAGCCGUAAACGCUGACCACUAGGUGUGUGGGGAGAUCGACCCCCUGCGCGCCGAAGCGAACGCAUGAAGUGGUCCGCCUGGGGAGUACGGCCGCAAGGCUAAAACUCAAAGGAAUUGACGGAAGGGCGAAUUC